rnacentral:rRNA from 1 species
CACGUAGGGUGCGAGCGUUGUCCGGAAUUAUUGGGCGUAAAGAGCUCGUAGGCGGUGUGUCGCGUCGGCCGUGAAAACCUGCAGCUUAACUGUGGGCGUGCGGUCGAUACGGGCAUCACUGGAGUUCGGCAGGGGAGACUGGGAAUUCCUGGUGUAGCGGUGAAAUGCGCAGAUAUCAGGAGGAACACCGGUGGCGAAGGCGGGUCUCUGGGCCGAAUACUGACGUGGAGGAGCGAAAGCGUGGGGAGCGAACAGG